AAUAUCACCAGGUUGUAAGUUUCAUGAUGUGAACAUGAACUUUUCUUUUCCUAUGUCUAACACAUUAGGAACAGUUUUGUUAGCAGAGGAAGUAAGGGAGAAGACGCAAAGCCAGUUCAGACGACCUUCCCUACAUGUGGUACACAGCCACUGCACGUGUAUAUUCCAGCACCAGUUGACAACAUUUAAGAGCUGUAGUCUUUUUAUUGCUGACAUGAAUGCUGACAACUUUGUUGUAAAAAUGGAUGAUAGCUUGCUUGUUACUGUAAGAAAACAGACGCCUAGCAUUCACCAACUGUAAAGUGUGCAUGUGCUACAAAAUGGGUGCAAACAGAACGGCCUUAAUGAGGCUGUGCUUUCCAGCAAGCCUUGCCCUUGGCUGCUGGCAGGUACCGCCCUGCUAGAGACAAGGACACAGGAGCUGUGGGCACUGGCUGCAACAGCCAAAUCAUUGCAGGUAUGGUGACAGAUAAACUUUUAUACAGUGCUAUCGUACAGGCGAUUUGUGUAGGCUUUGCCAGAAUUCACCCUGGCAAAGAAGCAAUUUUAAAUGGCUUGCAACCCAGAUGUUUACUCCACCCCAAAGGCAGGGUGUGGGGAGGGGUUGCGUAAGUUCCUCCACGUCGUGCUCUGUACAAUGAAGACCCUAUCACAACCCACUGGAAACUGGGCUCCCAAUCUUAAAUAUAACAAAAUGGGAGAAAGUGGGCGUGGCUCUGUGACCUAUAGGACCAGAAGAAGCCAGAGCAUCCGGCCUCCAGGAGGGCCACAUUGGUUCCAGAGUUUUCCCAGGACAGCACGGAGAUGGCACAUGAGGACCACUGUCUGGAACGCUCUCUGGCUGAGAGAGGGAUGGUGCUGCCACAGAGGCAGAGCCCACUUUCUCAUACACGUAGCUUUUAAUAGAACACUAUCUAAAAAUAACAGGCAGCGAGUGAGCACCGUGUCAGCCUCAUACAAAUGACAGGCAUGUCUUACAGAAAAGCUGUCAGGAGUCUGCAAUCCUUUAGAGCUUGAAGGCCAGAAGUGUUUAUUGUUAAUACUCUGUGGGGACCUCUUGGCUUGUAGCCUGACUAUAGAGAGCACUGGCUGAGUCAAAGAAGGCGCAGUCCUUCCAUCCUACUGAGGUAGUGAGUAUUCAGUUACACCGGGCUGAAGAAAACUCUACAAAAUGGCUACACACACAGCAGAGGAGGUUUAAUAGUGUCAGCAACUACAUCUUAACAGUAUCCACUUGUUACUGGAGUGCUUGUAGUAGUGCUUUCAGAUGAAGAAGGACCAGGCUUAGGACAGAGUUUACGAGAAAUUGCUGCUGCUGAGCCUGUUACGUACAGACCGUGGUACUCUGCUUCCCCUUAACUUGGAAUGCUUGAGUGGCGGUGAAAGGAGCCCACCACGUGGCACUCACAAGAGGAACCUUCAGAGAAGAGGAUCCAAGAGGUCUGCCUGGAUGUCCCAGAUCACGUUCCAGUGAGUGAGUGGAGCAGCACAUGCCCUGGCUCUCUCUGGAUAAAAUCCCCAAACACAUUUCUUUGAGAAAAUUAAGGGAAAAGAAGAUUCUCCUUUUAAGAGUCCUGGAUGACCCACCCCACAGAAAUGCAAGGAGCGCCACUGGAAAGGGGAGGGGCGCACAUCCUCCUCACCAGUUUCAGGAGGAUUCGGGACACCAGCAAACAGACAAGGAAGGAGUACUUACAAGAUCCUUCGUGGGAUUUCUGACUCGAAAGAAAUAAACCACCAAGGUGGUGGGUAGGAGCUCCCACACGAAAAGCACCACGCCAAACACUACGUAGCCGGCAUCACCCAGCUGGCUCUUCAGAUCUGCCUGUGCCAGAGCAAGAAGAGAGUCACGAGACUUCAUGUGUUGGAGGACAGAGAGCAGAAAACUGAAAUGCUUCCCCUAAGGCUCGCACUUUGAAACUUGGUCACAGAGAUAGGUCAGGCCUUGGAGGACGCUGGAACCCAUUUAGGAAGAUGGAUUAUGACUGGCUAUUCAUUUACUUUUGUGGUUCAGGAAUGAACCCAGAGCCCAUAUCCCAGCCCUGACUCUUAAAGGAGAACGGCUUGUCUGUCCAGAGUCAUCCUGACAUUAGACACACUCUAUUCUCCAACCCAUGAGGGCUGACCACAGGCAGGAAAAGUCCUCUGAGCAAGGCAGAGCCUAAGGGGAUGGCUAUGGAGGGAAUGUCCCAGGAUAGAGGGGAACCAGUUAUGGCAGCCUCUCAGCCCAUUACCAGGAAGAGAGCACUGAGCCACAGCCUGGUCCUCAGGCCUUUUCUAACACAUCAUGCUGAAAGCCCAGACCAGACACUGGUCCCCAGAGUGAUGAUUCUCAGGUCUCCUACUUCUAGAUCAUCACCACAGCUCAACCCUGUGUGCUCUCCUUUUCACUGAGAAGGCACAGGCACUUGAAGUCACUGAAAAAAUGAGCAUCUCAAAAGCAUCACACCCCAAGCAGAGAGUUUUUAAGCUCUUGAUUGAAAGAAAAUUGGAAGUAAUUUGUUAAAGUUGCUGUUUGAUGGAACUCCAGUUUUGAAAGAGAAAGGUCAAGUGGGUAGCAGUGAUGGUUUGAACGCAUCCAUACCAGUGCCACUGGCUGCUCUUGAAACCCCCGUGCACGAAGAACAGCUCUAUGCACAGCCACUGCUUAGGUAAGGUCUAGAAAUCCCAUGUCUGGUUUUCCCCGAAUGGUACACAUUACCUGAGCGUCCUUUCCUUGCUUUCUCCCUGCUGCACCUGUGCGACAGGCUUGGCCAGUGUUGCUA
rnacentral:lncRNA from 1 species